rnacentral:rRNA from 1 species
UGCAGGGGGGCAAGCGUUGUUCGGAAUUACUGGGCGUAAAGGGCUCGUAGGCGGCCAACUAAGUCGGACGUGAAAUCCCUCGGCUUAACCGGGAACUGCGUCCGAUACUGGAUGGCUUGAGUUGGGAGAGGGAUGCGGAAUUCCAGGUGUAGCGGUGAAAUGCGUAGAUAUCAGGAGGAACACCGGUGGCGAAGGCGGUUCUCUGGGCAUGUCCUGACGCUGAGGAGCGAAAGUGUGGGAGCGAACAGG